UACGUAGGGGGCUAGCGUUGUCCGGAUUUAUUGGGCGUAAAGAGCGUGUAGGCGGCCAGGUAGGUCUGCUGUGAAAACUCGAGGCUCAACCUCGAGACGUCGGCGGAAACCAUCUGGCUAGAGUCCGGAAGAGGAGAGUGGAAUUCCUGGUGUAGCGGUGAAAUGCGUAGAGAUCGGCAGGAACACCCAGGGGGAAACCAGCCGACUGGGCAUCUACUGACGCUGAGGUGCGAGAGCGUGGGGAGCGAACCGG
rnacentral:rRNA from 1 species